CCCCACAUCGGCAGGCGGAUUCCCAACCACUGCGCCACCAGGGAAGCCCCCGAGCUAGUUUUUACACAAGAACAUUAAAAGUAUCUGUGAUCGAUGUUUGUUAGUGGGUGCAAGGAUGUGCAUCUCCCAGCUGGCUGUCCUAGGAGAAACUGGGGGGGGAAACACAUGGGAAGGGCCAUGGCCUGCAUCCCAGCAGGAGGCACACAUCACGCCUGCUGCUGCAUCCCACUUCCCCGCUUGAGCAACACUUCUGGUCGAAGGACUUCCUUUGCCCCAAACUUCCCUCGUUAACAGGAUCCCAUUUCUCCCAGAGUUGCGCUGAGCUGAACACCUCUUCCUAUGCCACAGAAAGCCUUUCCUUCACAUUGUUGGAUGAAUUGUCUUAGGGAACUGGUGAAUUGUGGGCAAGUUUCAUCUCUACAUGGGAAUGUAGAACCACGGGCGGCAGGGGCCCCAGGUGAGCAGGCUGGGAAGGUGGGCUGUGCCCUCCUGGUCUCCGUGGAUCACACCUCAGAACAGUUUCUUUUGGGGGUGGGGCUGAAAAUAGAGGUUUAUUGGUCUUUGGAGACUGAAGCCCUAGAAGGUCACGUGUUCUUUCGGAAAUUCCUUUGCUGCCACUUGCAGAGUAACGUCAGGAGUACCUCUCAGCCCUCCUCUGUGCCAGACACUUGACAGGCGUCUGUGGCGACUGAGCUCACUGCUAACUCGCCCCUCCACCAUUAGUGUCUUGGCAGAGGGGACUCGGGGGGGGCGGGCGGGUGUCAGACAACAUGGCCAAAGCUGGCACGUCUGUAGCUCCUUGACAGGCACCUCGCUGCCCUCCCCCUGGGUCCAGGCUGGGAGGCCAACUGGCUUCUCGUGAACAGAGUGGGAGGGGAGGGGCACUGAGUGUGUCCCAGGCUCUGUCAGGACCGGGGCCCAUCUUCUGCCCGGCUCGGGACCCAGUCACAUGCUGUGAGGGCGUCCAGGCCGUGUGGAUGUCUGGCCAGAGCCCGGGAAGGUCCCAGCCGACAGGAGCACAGCAGCCAGCCGGGGACUGAAGGGCCUCCUGGGACACCAGCCCAGCUUUGGGGCACCAGCUGCUGCCCCAUGGAGCCUCGUCCAGACUGCAGGUCUGUGUGCAGAGUCGGUGUGGAAGCACCAAGCCUUGAGACGGCUCAUUCUGAAGCAGCACGUGUGUGUGCCGGCCCGGAAGCGGCACAUUUUGUUCCGGGAGUGGAGCCGCGGUUCUCGUGUAAAGUCCUCAUCUGAUUCUCUGGAUUUUGGCGAAUGUACCUUCUCACCCUGAAAACCGACAGAAUCCAGAUGAGCCUCGUGGCCGAUGCCCCCGGGAGGUCUCCUACAGGUAGGAAGGAAGGUGUCCGCUUCCCUCCAGGUCAGCGUAAAGCCUGAGAAUCCACCGGCCAUAGACCGGGGGGCGGUAGUGGGGGGUUAGGAGUUCAGCGCCCCCCAGUCCUACCGGCCUCGCCUCUGACAGCAGAGCAGCCACGCAGGGUCACCGAGGCGCUUGCCAACUGGGCUGCACGCCCGCCUCUUGUGUCUCUAGGAGCAGCGGGAGUUUACUGUGGGGGAGGCACAGCCUGCCUCCACCCGAAGCGACACGUGAACGCAGGUUCCUGCCAGGUCCCUGGAUGGAGCAGGUGGCUGAGGGCCACCCUCCUGGGAGCCGGGGGCCCAGGGGAGGCAGGCGCCUGAGUAACCGCAGGGCCGGCAGGUGCUCUGGGUGCUGUCCCCAGGCGUUCAGCCAUGCGCUCUGCUGGGUUCGUUUUGUUCUGUUCUCCUUAAGCAGCACUCCCCCAGCAUCCUCCAGAGGAACGUGUUCUCCGAUGACCCGGAUCUGCCGGCUUUAGUGCCUGUUUGCAGCCCCACCUUGGAACCCACUCCGUCGGCCUCACCUAAGCACCCGCAGUCCCAGGAACCGCGGCCUCGCCACCCGUGAAACGCAGGACUCCACGAGAGCGCAACACACACAAGGCCCCUGCGGGCCCUACCCUGCGGGUGGUGAGCAGAGCAAUGGCCCCGCUCUGCAGUGUCUCUGAAUCCGGCAGGGAGCGUACCGCGGGCCUACCCCGACGCCUCCCGGGCAGCAUGGGCUGCGCCCACGGGGAUGCUGGGGAGGAGGUGAGGCAGCAUGGGGACAGCGGGCAGCACGGUGCCCGGGCAUCACACACGCUUACUGACACGGACUGUCAUACAGUCAGGCACAUGUGUCUAUAAGCCCUCCUACAGCAGGGUUCAAACAUCAAUCCCCACCGCGCAGCAGCCCCCUGUACAAAGGUUUGCGCUGCGGGGGUCACUGACUUGCUCUCAAGAGAUGCGCGAGGCCAGGAAUCAGAGCUGGAACCACAGUCAGACCAGGGAUCCUUAAAGGUUCUGUGCACAGAUUUGUCCACAUUCCAAUUUACUCCAAACUCUGACAUCCGGUGCACAUGAAAGAGUGUUAAGGGCUGCUUCUCCCCCGACACCCCAAGCCCAGGACGGGCUGGGACAGGACUGGCAAGUGGCCGGGAGAGCAGCCUGGGAGCCUCCAAAUUCGGGCUGGCAUCAGAGCUGGCAUUUCGCUUCGGGAACCCAUCAGAAAGUUCUGCAAGUGUGAGCCUCCCCUUUCACAACAGUCUCAUGAGCUGGCCCAUAUCUGCCACCUGGAUGUGGAUCCCAGCAGGGCACAGACACAGCACUCUCUCCAGGGCUCAGCGAUUCCACAGGCCACUUGCGGGGCUUUCAAAUGGCUCUGACAAGGACAGACCUCUCUCGUUUAUGAGGACCAAAGGUAAGGUAUGUGUGCUCAGGUGGUGCUUUCUUUGAGGAGCACACCUCACACCUCUUUACAAAGCUCACCACAGUAACAGGGCAGAUCUGAGAAGUGAAAGUCAAGUUUCCAGGCACUCAGACUAGAGACCCAGCAAUUUAUAAAAACGUGCAUCUCAGGUAAUUGUCCUAUUAACGUGAAACCAUGGCAGGAGGUUUAACCUGAAACCUCAAGACCGACUUACCAUAAGCAAAGCUGGGGGACAGAUUCGUACGUCUACUGCAAGACCGAUCAGAAAAUAACCUCGAUUCCAAAAGGGAAAGGAUCUUGUUAGCAGACUCGGGCGUGAGUCAGAAGAGGGAGCAGAAGGCCUAGCCGAGUCUCGGGAGAGUCCGGACUCUCAGCUCGCACGUGGCACAUGGAGGGCCCUUGCAGCCAAGGGACACGGGGGAGGACAGUAAGGACACGCACCUGGGCUGGGUGCCCCAACUUACCCCAUCCUCGCAGGCGGCAAACCUCAGGAGCGAAGAGAUACUGUGCUGCAGCAGCUGCAAGAACAGUCACGGGCGGGGUCAGGACCCCAACCCCGCUCACGCGGAACGAUCCCCCACCGAGACCUGACGUGUGACUCUAAGCCACCAGCUUCCAUCGCAGAGCCUUAAGUCAGACAGGGGAGGGCUGCGGCCCCUCGGGGGAGCCCUGCCCCCUUUCCCAGGAAAAGAGCAGGAGAUGCAGCCCUGGCCCAGCCGCGGGUGAAGGGGGCGCACAGUAGGUGGACGCGGAUGCACGAGCUCCCACCGGUUCCUACCUUGACCCUCACUGUGCACUGGGGUCGCAAGGGGCAGUCCAGGAAGACCUGCAGGUGCCUUCUGAGGAGGGGAGAGGUGACCACGCGGGAGCAGUCCCCACAGGAGAAGGCGCCCCUGUUGUUUGGAAACAAGAAGGCACAGAGCGUGGGAGCCUGGCAGCGGGCAGACACACAGACAUUUCCUGCACGUGAGUGAGUGUCCGUCUGCCAUGUUAGCGGGGGCGGGGGGGGGGGGCUCAGAAACCCGGCUCCUGGAACAGGCCCCAAGCAGCCUGGGCUCCGCGGUCGCAGCGCCCAGCGUGGGGGCCCCCCCGGCUGAGCCAAGCAGCCAACAAGGGGAAGGGCCGGACGGCAAACCUGCUCCCACCACCAGUGUCUCUGCUCCUUCCUGCUUCCAAGGAAGGCCUGUCCAGGCCACCACCUGUGAGGCGUCAAGAAGCAGGAACGUGAUGACACGCCCUGUGCACGUGCCUCCGACAGUCACGGGGGGGCCGGAGGACUGGCGCCGAGGACGGGCCCUGGGGUGGGCGGCGGUAAGGCUGGGCAGGGAUGUCUGCUUGCAGAGGUCGGCUGUGCCGUCACCAAGUGUGUCUCACAUUCGUGUUAGCCCCGAGUUCUUAUUCUCCCGCCUGAUAACAAAGAAGCUGAGGAAACCUGGCUCUUCUCUCUUUUAAGACAGGAAGAGCCUCGGGGAACCGCAGAACCCCAGUCGUGAGGAGAGAAAACACGGCGCCCGGCCUCCUCCGUGUGCCCUGGGCCCGGCCCCUGGCCCGAGGCACAAGGCAAUGGGGUCCCGGGCUGCUGCUGCUGCUGCCCCUACCUGUCUUCCGGCCUCCGUUCCAGUCUCUCACCGCCACACAGGUCACACGCAGGCCACGAGCAGGCGGUGCUCUCGUCCACGGCGACCACAGCGCCUAGGCCCAGGGAAGCAGACCCGGGCUCAGAGGCGGCUCUGUCCCCCAACUUCUCUUUGCCCCUCAGGUCACAGACGGUAACAUGAGGUGCCCCAGGUUUGCUUCUCAUUUGUGAGUUUAUAUAAAUGUUUCUAAGCUUUUUAAAAUUUCCAUUCAUGGCACAAAAUUACAACAAAGAGCAGGUUUUAAAGCUCAGGCAUAUUACUAACCAAGUAUUUUCGUUUUUGCCUUUUUCCAACGUGCAUGUUCUGAGGCCAUGACGAGCACCCCAUCCCUGCUCCAUCUCGUCCUGCCCUUAGGCUGCUGCAUGGCUGUCCCUUUAGGUCCCGGUUCUCUCGGCCACUCUCCUGACUGGACACCAGGCCUCCAAACUGCCCUAGCCCGAGGCGGUGGGUAUUUGUCUACCUGGCUCCUUCCGUGCUGGACCCUUCUCUUAGGAUGCGCUCAUGGAGUGGGGUUACUGCGUCCAAGCGCGUGAGCACAGAGAUGGCGGAACCCCUUUCAGAGGCGCUUCCCACAGAACCUCCGACCCCUGCCGCCCACGCCCGCCCACUGCACUGACGCUCACAGGCAGCACCGCCUGCCGGACGCGUUUGUGGUUUAUUUAUUCAACAAACAAAUACAUACAAUGCUCUUUAGUGUGGGAUAUACACAUAGCACUUUGAACAUAGGGUAGAUGCCACAAUCUACACUUUCAUGGACGCCACAGUCAGGCUGGAAAAGCAGAUAAACAAAUAACAAGUAAAAAGAUCACGAAAUAUGGGAGAAAAUAUCUGCAGAAGACACUCUGAUCAAGGACUGCCAUCCGAAGUAUAUUAGAACUUUAAAAACUCAACAGUAAAGGGACUUCCCUGGCGGUCCAGUGGUUAAGAAUCCUCUUUCCAAUACAGGGAGCACGGGUUUGAGCCCUGGUUGGGAAACUAAGAUCCCAUAUGCCGCGCAGCACAGCCCCACCCCACCCCCCAAAAAACAACAACAACGAAAAACCUCAACAAUAAGAAUCAGAAUAACCUGAUUAAAAAUUGGGCCAAAGACUUGAACAGACACCUCACCAGAGAAGAUACAGAGACAGCAGAAAAGCAUGUGAAAAGAUGUUCAGCAUCACGUCUUGAGGGAAAUGCAAAUGAACACAGCAAUGAGACACCGCGACACACCUAUGAGAACCGCCAAAGCCCACACA